AAAAUAAUAAAAAUAAUCUAACUUAGAAAAACCAACUUUGCAGAUGAUGUGGCCACUCCGAAUCCCUCAUAGCUCCAAGCCCAUUAUGGUUGGGGAUUUCCUGCAGAGAUGAAAAUAAAGGGUGAGUUUGGUAAACUCCGUGUGUAACAUAACCCAACCAUAGCCCAAAAUAGAUCAAACCUUAGAGUCAGACUUAUCUGGGC
rnacentral:lncRNA from 1 species